GAAGCUUUUGGAAAGAAGCAUCAUAGAGGGUGAUAAUACCCGUAACGUAAGAAUUGCAGUGAUAGUAGUAUCCUGAGUACCGCGAGGUCGGAGACGCCUUUGUGGGAAUCUGCCGGCACCAUCCGGUAAGGCUAAAGUACUCUCAAGAGACCGAUAGUGAACCAGUACUGUGAAGGAAAAGGUGAAAAGAACCGCGAACAGCGGAGUGAAAUAGAACCUGAAACCAUGCGCUUACAAGCGGUCGGAGUCCUUAGGGAUGACGGCGUGCCUUUUGCAUAAUGAGCCUACGAGUUACUCCUCACUGGCAAGGUUAACCCCGUAAACGGGGGGAGCCGCAGCGAAAGCAAGUCUGAAUAGGGCGUAUAGUCAGUGGGGGUAGACGCGAAACCUUGUGAUCUACCCAUGACCAGGAUGAAGUGACGGUAACACGUCAUGGAGGUCCGAACUGGUGGACGUUGAAAAGUCCUCGGAUGAGUUGUGGGUAGGGGUGAAAGGCUAAUCAAACUGGGAAA
rnacentral:rRNA from 1 species